UGGGGAAUAUUGGACAAUGGGCGAAAGCCUGAUCCAGCCAUGCCGCGUGUGUGAAGAAGGCCUUAUGGUUGUAAAGCACUUUAAGCGAGGAGGAGGGUACUGGUAUUAAUACUACCAGCUACUGGACGUUACUCGCAGAAUAAGCACCGGCUAACUCUGUGCCAGCAGCCGCGGUAAUACAGAGGGUGCGAGCGUUAAUCGGAUUUACUGGGCGUAAAGCGUGCGUAGGCGGCUAAUUGAGUCGGAUGUGAAAUCCCCGAGCUUAACUUGGGAAUUGCAUUCGAUACUUGUUAGCUAGAGUGUGGGAGAGGAUGGUAGAAUUCCAGGUGUAGCGGUGAAAUUCGUUGAGAUCUGGAGGAAUACCGAUGGCGAAGGCAGCCAUCUGGCCUAACACUGACGCUGAGGUACGAAAGCAUGGGGAGCAAACAGG
rnacentral:rRNA from 1 species